rnacentral:tRNA from 2 species
GGCGACAUGGCCGAGUGGUCUAAGGCGCCGUCUUAAGGAGGUACCAGGGACGUGUUCUGGCGUUGUUGGGGGUCAUCCGGCGGUCUUCGGGCGUGGGUUCGAAUCCCACUGUCGUCA